rnacentral:rRNA from 1 species
AUUGAACGCUGGCGGCAGGCCUAACACAUGCAAGUCGAGCGGUAGAGCGAAGCUUGCUUCUCUUGAGAGCGGCGGACGGGUGAGUAAUGCCUAGGAAUCUGCCUGGUAGUGGGGGAUAACGUUCGGAAACGGACGCUAAUACCGCAUACGUCCUACGGGAGAAAGCAGGGGACCUUCGGGCCUUGCGCUAUCAGAUGAGCCUAGGUCGGAUUAGCUAGUUGGUGGGGUAAUGGCUCACCAAGGCGACGAUCCGUAACUGGUCUGAGAGGAUGAUCAGUCACACUGGAACUGAGACACGGUCCAGACUCCUACGGGAGGCAGCAGUGGGGAAUAUUGGACAAUGGGCGAAAGCCUGAUCCAGCCAUGCCGCGUGUGUGAAGAAGGUCUUCGGAUUGUAAAGCACUUUAAGUUGGGAGGAAGGGCAGUUGCCUAAUACGUAACUGUUUUGACGUUACCGACAGAAUAAGCACCGGCUAACUCUGUG